CCUAUUUUCUGAAAUCUCAAAAGUCUCUCAGUCCUCAAUCCCGCUGCCCGCGCCGCUCAAAGUCUCAAACCCUCACGAGGUCACCGUCUUGCUUAGUCGAUUCAGCCGCCCCAACCUCUGCUCUGCCGCGCCACCACGAGGUCGCCGUCUUGCUCGCCAAUUCAACCGGUGUCCACAAGCUCGCCGCUCAGCUCCACCACAAGCUCGUCGUUCACCUCGAAGCUGCUAUUUCAUCAGAAAAGAUGUGAAAUGAAGGUCGUUGAAUAUGUUAUAAUUGAUAAAGUGCCUUUCCGGGCUGUUGAAGGGAAGGGAUUUGUUGCUCUCCUGCACGAACUAGAACCAAGAUUUCGAAUUCCUGAUCGAAAGAAAGUUGCAGGUAUGGUUCAUGAUUUAUUAUUAGAGCAUAAGAAGGAAAUUAAGAAUGUGAUUAGGGGACAAGAUGCCAGCAUGAAUCAAGAUGAUUCUCAAGUUUUAUCAACUACUUCAUCCAACAAUUUGAAUUGAUCCAACAAUUUGAAUUGAUCAGGCAGCAGGUUGGAUCAUUCAUUUUCAGUCCCGUCUACAAGUAAUGUCUUUUGUCAAACUCACCAACGAGGUUGCAAGAAAUGAAGAUGAUGUUGCUCAUGAUUUUAUAAUUUGUUAGAAUGGAUGUAUGAACAAGAUUUGAUUGUGAUGAGUUUGAUUAUUUUGGAGUUUUUUGAAGUA